AGUGAACGCUGGCGGCAGGCCUAACACAUGCAAGUCGAACGGCAGCACAGUAAGAGCUUGCUCUUACGGGUGGCGAGUGGCGGACGGGUGAGGAAUACAUCGGAAUCUACUUUUUCGUGGGGGAUAACGUAGGGAAACUUACGCUAAUACCGCAUACGAUCUACGGGUGAAAGCAGUGGAUAUUUGGACCUUUUGCGACUGAAUGAGCCGAUGUCGGAUUAGCUAGUUGGCGGGGUAAAGGCCCACCAAGGCGACGAUCCGUAGCUGGUCUGAGAGGAUGAUCAGCCACACUGGAACUGAGACACGGUCCAGACUCCUACGGGAGGCAGCAGUGGGGAAUAUUGGGCAAUGGGCGCAAGCCUGAUCCAGCCAUACCGCGUGGGUGAAGAAGGCCUUCGGGUUGUAAAGCCCUUUUGUUGGGAAAGAAAAGCAGCAGGUUAAUACCCCGCUGUUCUGACGGUACCCAAAGAAUAAGCACCGGCUAACUUCGUG
rnacentral:rRNA from 1 species